GAAACCAAAAUUCCAACGAUAAUUCCAGAUGUUAAAGUUAUUAAAUUAAUGUACCAUUCUGUUUUGUACUGUUUUAUUCUCUCAUUUAUACUGCGUUGAUACAACUG